GCGUCGGUAGUGCAACGGUUGAAAACGCACAUCCGGAUAAGGUGAAAUGUGGGUUCGAAUUCCAGCUGACGCA